rnacentral:rRNA from 1 species
CAGUAGCCACGGUAAUACAGAGGGUGCGAGCGUUAAUCGGAUUUACUGGGCGUAAAGCGUGCGUAGGCGGCUUUUUAAGUCGGAUGUGAAAUCCCUGAGCUUAACUUAGGAAUUGCAUUCGAUACUGGGAAGCUAGAGUAUGGGAGAGGAUGGUAGAAUUCCAGGUGUAGCGGUGAAAUGCGUAGAGAUCUGGAGGAAUACCGAUGGCGAAGGCAGCCAUCUGGCCUAAUACUGACGCUGAGGUACGAAAGCAUGGGGAGCAAACAGGAUUAGAUACCCCUGUAGUCCCUGUCUCUUAUAU